rnacentral:rRNA from 1 species
AACGCGUGAGAAUCUGCCUCCGGGCUCGGGACAACAGUUGGAAACGACUGCUAAUACCGGAUGUGCCUAUUGGUGAAAGAUUUAUUACCUGGAGAUGAGCUCGCGUUGGAUUAGCUAGUUGGUGUGGUAAGAGCGCACCAAGGCGACGAUCUAUAGCUGGUCUGAGAGGACGAUCAGCCACACUGGGACUGAGACACGGCCCAGACUCCUACGGGAGGCAGCAGUGGGGAAUUUUCCGCAAUGGGCGAAAGCCUGACGGAGCAAUACCGCGUGAGGGAGGAAGGCUUUUGGGUUGUAAACCUCUUUUCUCAAGGAAGAAGUUCUGACGGUACUUGAGGAAUCAGCAUCGGCUAACUCCGUGCCAGCAGCCGCGGUAAUACGGAGGAUGCAAGCGUUAUCCGGAAUGAUUGGGCGUAAAGCGUCCGACGGUGGUUAUGCAAGUUUACUGUUAAAGAGUGAAGCUUAACUUCAUAAGGGCCGUAGAAACUGCAUGACUAGAGUGCGUUCGGGGCAGAGGGAAUUCCUGGUGUAGCGGUGAAAUGCGUAGAUAUCAGGAAGAACACCGGUGGCGAAAGCGCUCUGCUAGGCCGCAACUGACACUGAGGGACGAAAGCUAAGGGAGCGAAUGGGAUUA